rnacentral:rRNA from 1 species
AACGAACGCUGGCGGCAUGCCUAACACAUGCAAGUCGAACGAGACCUUCGGGUCUAGUGGCGCACGGGUGCGUAACGCGUGGGAACCUGCCCUUAGGUUCGGAAUAACUCCCCGAAAGGGGUGCUAAUACCGGAUAAUGUCUUCGGACCAAAGAUUUAUCGCCUUUUGAUGGGCCCGCGUUGGAUUAGCUAGUUGGUAGGGUAAAAGCCUACCAAGGCGACGAUCCAUAGCUGGUCUGAGAGGAUGAUCAGCCACACUGGGACUGAGACACGGCCCAGACUCCUACGGGAGGCAGCAGUGGGGAAUAUUGGACAAUGGGCGAAAGCCUGAUCCAGCAAUGCGGGGUGAGGGAUGAAGGCCUUAGGGUUGUAAAGCUCUUUUACCCAGGAUGAUAAUGACAGGACCGGGAGAAUAAGCGCCGGCUAACUCCG